rnacentral:rRNA from 1 species
GGCCUACGGGGGGCAGCAGUAGGGAAUCUUCCACAAUGGACGAAAGUCUGAUGGAGCAACGCCGCGUGAGUGAAGAAGGGUUUCGGCUCGUAAAGCUCUGUUGGUAGUGAAGAAAGAUAGAGGUAGUAACUUGCCUUUUUUUGACGGUUAUUACUUAGAAAGUCACGGCUAACUACGUGCCAGCAGCCGCGGGAAUACGUAGGUGGCAAGCGUUUUCCGGAUUUUUUGGGGGUAA